AAGGAGAGAAUAAUUGUUUCCAGGUAGUUGGUGGGGAAAGCCCCCACCACACUUUUUUGCCCCUAGUUGUUUGGAGGAUUUUCCCGCCCCCUGGGAAUUGAACCCGGUCCCAAUCUCUUAGGGGAGGCAACAGUGGGAAUUUUGCACAAUGGGGGAAACCCUGAUGCAGCAACGCCGCGUGGGAGGAUGACACAUUUCGGGGCGUAAACUCCUUUUUAUAUGAGAAGAUAAUGCCGGUCCCAUAUGAAUAAGCACCGGCUAACUCCGUGCCAGCAGCCGCGGUAAUACGGAGGGUGCAAGCGUUACUCGGAAUCACUGGGCGUAAAGCGCGCGCAGGCGGCUAUUUAAGUUGGAUGUGGAAGCCUACGGCUCAACCGUAGAACUGCAUCCAAAACUAUUUAGCUAGAGUGUGGGAGAGGAAGAUGGAAUUAGUUGUGUAGGGGUAAAAUCCGUAGAGAUAACUAGGAAUACCAAAAGCGAAGGCAAUCUUCUGGAACACUACUGACGCUGAGGCGCGAAAGCGUGGGGAGCAAACAGGAUUAGAUACCCUGGUAGUCCACGCAGUAAACGAUGAGUGCUAGUCGUCGGGAGGCUUAAGUCCUUUCGGUGAUGCACUUAACAGAUUAAGCAUUCCGCCUGGGGAGUACGGUCGCAAGAUUAAAACUCAAAGGAAUAGACGGGGACCCGCACAAGUGGUGGAGCAUGUGGUUUAAUUCGACGAUACGCGAAAAACCUUACCUAGCCUUGACAUUGAUAGAAUUUCUUAGAGAUAAGAAAGUGCCUUCGGGAGCUUGAAAACAGGUGCUGCACGGCUGUCGUCAGCUCGUGUCGUGAGAUGUUGGGUUAAGUCCCGCAACGAGCGCAACCCUCGUCCAUAGUUGCCAUCAGUUAGGCUGGGCACUCUAUGGAGACUGCCUCCGUAAGGAGGAGGAAGGUGAGGACGGCGUCAAGUCAUCAUGGCCCUUAUGGCUAGGGCUACACACGUGCUACAAUGGUAUAUACAGAGAGUCGCAAGACCGCAAGGUGGAGCUAAUCUUUAAAAUAUAUCUCAGUUCGGAUUGUUCUCUGCAACUCGAGAACAUGAAGCUGGAAUCACUAGUAAUCGUGAAUCAGAAUGUCACGGUGAAUACGUUCCCGGGUCUUGUACUCACCGCCCGUCACACCAUGGGAGUUGAUUUCACCCGAAAUCGGGAUGCCAAAUUGGCUACCGCUUACGGUGGAAUUAGCGACUGGGGUGAAGUCGUAACAAGGUAUC
rnacentral:rRNA from 1 species